UGCCAGCAGCCGCGGUAAUACGGAGGGUGCGAGCGUUAAUCGGAAUUACUGGGCGUAAAGCGCGCGUAGGUGGUCUGUUAAGUCGGGGUGAAAUCCCGGGGCUCAACCCCGGAACUGCCUCCAAAACUAUCAGUCUAGAGUUCGAGAGAGGUGAGUGGAAUUCCAAGUGUAGAGGUGAAAUUCGUAGAUAUUUGGAGGAACACCAGUGGCGAAGGCGGCUCACUGGCUCGAUACUGACGCUGAGGUGCGAAAGUGUGGGGAGCAAACAGGAUUAGAAA
rnacentral:rRNA from 1 species